UAAGUGUCGUAAGGGCAUUUGGUGGAUGCCUUGGCAUGCACAGGCGAUGAAGGACGUGAUACGCUGCGAAAAGCCGUGGGGAGCUGCGAAUGAGCUUUGAUCCAUGGAUCUCCGAAUGGGGCAACCCACCUUAAAUACCUAGAAAAUCAUUCUGGUUGUCGGAUCUUUGAUCCGGCAUUGCGGCGAACGAUCGCCGACGGCCUCUGGCCUGUAUGGGAGUUCCCAAUACAGCGCGGAGCGCGUCGCCGGUCGUCCGGCGCGCUGACGCAGCGCUGCACGAAGUGCAGAACGAGCGUGAGUGAAAACCCGAAUGGUUUCUAGGUAUUGUGAUAAGGUAUCUACACCUGAAUACAUAGGGUGUAAGAAGCGAACGCAGGGAACUGAAACAUCUAAGUACCUGCAGGAAAGGACAUCAACCGAGACUCCGCAAGUAGUGGCGAGCGAACGCGGACCAGGCCAGUGGCAAUUGUGAUUAAAGUGGAACGCUCUGGAAAGUGCGGCCGUAGUGGGUGACAGCCCCGUACGCGUAGAUAUCAUGAUUGUCCUAGAGUAGGGCGGGACACGAGAAAUCCUGUCUGAACAUGGGGAGACCACUCUCCAAGCCUAAGUACUCGUGCAUGACCGAUAGCGAACAAGUACCGUGAGGGAAAGGUGAAAAGCACCCCGACAAGGGGAGUGAAAUAGAACCUGAAACCGGAUGCCUACAAACAGUCGGAGCCCGCAAGGGUGACGGCGUACCUUUUGUAUAAUGGGUCAACGACUUAGUGUAACAAGCAAGCUUAAGCCGGUAGGUGUAGGCGAAGCGAAAGCGAGUCUGAAUAGGGCGAUAUAGUUUGUUGCAUUAGACCCGAAACCGAGUGAUCUAGCCAUGAGCAGGUUGAAGGUUGGGUAACACCAACUGGAGGACCGAACCCGCAUCUGUUGCAAUAGAUUGGGAUGACUUGUGGCUAGGGGUGAAAGGCCAAUCAAACUCGGAAAUAGCUGGUUCUCCGCGAAAUCUAUUUAGGUAGAGCGUCGAGCGAAUACCCCCGGGGGUAGAGCACUGGAUGGGCUAUGGGGACUCACCGUCUUACUGAUCCUAACCAAACUCCGAAUACCGGGGAGUACUACUCGGCAGACACACGGCGGGUGCUAACGUCCGUCGUGAAAAGGGCAACAACCCUAACCUCCAGCUAAGGUCCCCAAGUCAUGGCUAAGUGGGAAAGGAUGUGAGGAUCCCAAAACAACCAGGAUGUUGGCUUAGAAGCAGCCAUCAUUUAAAGAAAGCGUAACAGCUCACUGGUCUAAAUAAGGGUCUUUGCGCCGAAAAUGUAACGGGGCUGAAGCCAUGCACCGAAGCUGAGGAUGUGUAGCAAUACACGUGGUAGCGGAGCGUUCCGUAAGCCGAUGAAGGGAGACCCGUGAGGGCUCCUGGAGGUAUCGGAAGUGCGAAUGUUGACAUGAGUAACGAUAAAGAGGGUGAGAGACCCUCUCGCCGAAAGACCAAGGGUUCCUGCUUAAAGUUAAUCUGAGCAGGGUUAGCCGGCCCCUAAGGCGAGGCAGAAAUGCGUAGUCGAUGGGAACCACGUUAAUAUUCGUGGGCCUGGUGGUAGUGACGGAUUGCACAAGUUGUUCAUUCUUAUUGGAUUGGAUGGGCAGCGGAGCGGUUCCAGGAAAUAGCUCCACCGUAUAGACCGUACCCGAAACCGACACAGGUGGUCAGGUAGAGUAUACCAAGGCGCUUGAGAGAACUAUGUUGAAGGAACUCGGCAAAUUGCACGCGUAACUUCGGAAGAAGCGUGACCCCAUGCUAGGCAACUAUUAUGGGGUGGCACAGACCAGGGGGUAGCGACUGUUUAUCAAAAACACAGGGCUCUGCGAAGUCGCAAGACGACGUAUAGGGUCUGACGCCUGCCCGGUGCUGGAAGGUUAAGAGGAGAGGUGCAAGCUUUGAAUCGAAGCCCCAGUAAACGGCGGCCGUAACUAUAACGGUCCUAAGGUAGCGAAAUUCCUUGUCGGGUAAGUUCCGACCUGCACGAAUGGCGUAACGACUUCCCCGCUGUCUCCAACAUAGACUCAGUGAAAUUGAAUUCCCCGUGAAGAUGCGGGGUUCCUGCGGUCAGACGGAAAGACCCCGUGCACCUUUACUAUAGCUUUACACUGGCAUUCGUGUCGGCAUGUGUAGGAUAGGUGGUAGGCUUUGAAGCGGGGACGCCAGUUUCCGUGGAGCCAUCCUUGAAAUACCACCCUUAUCGUCAUGGAUGUCUAACCGCGGCCCGUUAUCCGGGUCCGGGACAGUGUAUGGUGGGUAGUUUGACUGGGGCGGUCGCCUCCGAAAGAGUAACGGAGGCGCGCGAUGGUGGGCUCAGACCGGUC
rnacentral:rRNA from 1 species